rnacentral:rRNA from 1 species
UACGUAGGGGGCUAGCGUUGUCCGGAUUUAUUGGGCGUAAAGAGCGUGUAGGCGGCCAGGUAGGUCUGGUGUGAAAACUCGAGGCUUAACCUCGAGAUGUCAUCGGAAACCAUCUGGCUAGAGUCCGGAAGAGGAGAGUGGAAUUCCUGGUGUAGCGGUGAAAUGCGCAGAUAUCAGGAAGAACACCAAUGGCGAAAGCAGCUCUCUGGGACGGUACUGACGCUCAGGUGCGAAAGCGUGGGGAGCAAACAGG